AAAGAAAUCAGUUCAGCACUAAGUCACUUUGUCUAUAUGGCAAAUGUGAGAUGCAGUGUAUGGAACAUCAAUAUUCUAGUAUGAGAAAUUAACGAUUUAAGUCCUUCUUAAAUGAGGCCAUUUACCCAUAGAGGGUGCCAGGCCCGUAUAACGUUAAUGAUUAUUAGAUGGUGUUUCCAAAGAGUCGUGUUGCUUGAUAGUGCAGCACUAAGUGGGUGGUAAACUCCAUCUAAAACUAAAUAUAACCAUGAGACCGAUAGUAAACAAGUACCGUGAGGGAAAGUUGAAAAGAACUCUGAAUAGAGAGUUAAAUAGUACGUGAAACUGCUUAGAGGUUAAGCCCGAUGAACCUGAAUAUCCAUUAUGGAAAAUUCAUCAUUAGAAUUGUAAUAUUUUAAUAAUAUUAUAAUAAUAGUGUGCAUUUUUUCCAUAUAAGGACAUUGUAAUCUAUUAACAUAAUAAAAUUUAUCAAAAAAUUUUGAAUUAUUGCUUAUUUAAAUUAUUUUGCUUGCAUUAUAACAUUAAAUAAAUUGUCGUAAAUUUGAUAAAGUGUUGAUAGAUUUAUAUGAAUACUGUGCGCUAAUUUUUCGGAAUUAUAUAAUGGCAUAAUUAUCAUUGAUUUUUGUGUUUAUUAUAAGCAUAUGUAUGAUUAA
rnacentral:rRNA from 1 species